UACGUAGGGUGCGAGCGUUGUCCGGAUUUAUUGGGCGUAAAGAGCUCGUAGGCGGCUCGUCGCGUCGUCCGUGAAAACCCGCGGCUUAACCGCGGGCUUGCGGUUGAUACGGGCGGGCUAGAGUUCGGUAGGGGAGACUGGAAUUCCUGGUGUAGCGGUGAAAUGCGCAGAUAUCAGGAGGAACACCGGUGGCGAAGGCGGGUCUCUGGGCCGAUACUGACGCUGAGGAGCGAAAGCGUGGGGAGCGAACAGG
rnacentral:rRNA from 1 species